rnacentral:rRNA from 1 species
UACGGAGGGAGCUAGCGUUAUUUGGAAUUACUGGGCGUAAAGCGCACGUAGGCGGCUUUGUAAGUUAGAGGUGAAAGCCUGGAGCUCAACUCCAGAAUUGCCUUUAAGACUGCAUCGCUUGAAUCCAGGAGAGGUGAGUGGAAUUCCGAGUGUAGAGGUGAAAUUCGUAGAUAUUCGGAAGAACACCAGUGGCGAAGGCGGCUCACUGGACUGGUAUUGACGCUGAGGUGCGAAAGCGUGGGGAGCAAACAGGG